rnacentral:piRNA from 1 species
UCCUCCCCAAAUAUAGUCAGUGUGUAUAACA